rnacentral:rRNA from 1 species
GACGAACGCUGGCGGCGUGCUUAACACAUGCAAGUCGAACGGAAAGGCCCGCGUUUUCUUGUGUACUCGGGUGGCGAAAGGGUGAGUAACGUGUGUGUAACCUGCCCUAUCCUCUCGGAUAACUGUUGGAAACUGGGGCUAAUACCUGAUAUUACCUAUUGCCCUGUGGGGUGGUGUGGGAAGUUUAGGCGGGUGGGGAUGGACUUGGGGCUUAGCAGUUUGUCGGUGGGGUUGUGGCUUACCAAGGCUUCUACGGGUGGCGGGCCUGAGAGGGUGACCGGCCACAUUGGGCCUGCGAUACGGCCCAGACUCCGACGGGAGGCAGCAGUGGGGAAUAUUGCACAAUGGGCGGAAGCCUGAUGCAGCGACGCCGGGUGCGGGAUGACGGCCUUCGGGUGGUAACCCGCUUUCGCCUGGGAUGAAGCGUGAGUGACGGUAAUGGGAGAAGAAGCACCGGCUAACUACGUG